GAUGAACGCUAGCGGGAGGCUUAACACAUGCAAGUCGAGGGGCAUCACGGGGUAGCAAUACUCUGGUGGCGACCGGCGCACGGGUGAGUAACACGUAUGCAACCUACCCUGUACAGGGGGGAUAACCCGGAGAAAUUCGGACUAAUACCCCAUAAAGAUAUUUAGAGGCAUCUUUAAAAUAUUUAAAGCUCAGGCGGUACGGGAUGGGCAUGCGGAACAUUAGCUAGUUGGCAGGGUAACGCCUACCAAGGCUACGAUGUUUAGGGGACCUGAGAGGGUGAUCCCCCACACUGGUACUGAGACACGGACCAGACUCCUACGGGAGGCAG
rnacentral:rRNA from 1 species